CACUCCCUAACCCUUAUGUGAACCUACCUAUUGUUGCUUCGGCGGACUCGCCCCAGCCGGACGCGGACUGGACCAGCGGCCGCCGGGGACCCUCAAACUCUUGUAUUAUCAGCAUCUUCUGAAUACGCCGCAAGGCAAAACAAAUAAAUCAAAACUUUCAACAACGGAUCUCUUGGCUCUGGCAUCGAUGAAGAACGCAGCGAAAUGCGAUAAGUAAUGUGAAUUGCAGAAUCCAGUGAAUCAUCGAAUCUUUGAACGCACAUUGCGCCCGCCAGCAUUCUGGCGGGCAUGCCUGUUCGAGCGUCAUUUCAACCCUCGACCUCCCUUUGGGGAAGUCGGCGUUGGGGACCGGCAGCACACCGCCGGCCCUGAAAUGGAGUGGCGGCCCGUCCGCGGCGACCUCUGCGUAGUAAUCCAACUCGCACCGGAACCCCGACGCGGCCACGCCGUAAAACACCCAACUUCUGAACGUGACCUCGAAUCAGGUA
rnacentral:rRNA from 1 species